rnacentral:lncRNA from 1 species
UUUUUAAGACAAGAUGUGUUGACAUAACUUAUGCAUAACUAAACAUGACACGAGACAGUUGCUUAAACUAAGUCAUGAAAAAAUUGAAUUGGUAUGUAAACAAAGAUUCUUUGUAAUGUGUUGCUGCUGUGUGUGUGUUAAAAAUUUUACGGUGAUGAAGGGGUCCCUCUGUUGCCACCCUUCAUUAAUGCAAACAUUAUUUUCGUGACUAUUUUAGAUGCUCCUUGCAUGUGUUCACACUGUGACAGCGUUAAUGUGCCACUGCUAUAAAUUAACUGCGAACUUUCCGAACUUAUUUUGUAGUGGCGAGGCCGUAACCCACACCAGUGUCCACAUAAUGGAGGAGCCAGCAGAAAUGCAGGGAAACCUUGAAUGACUGCCAUAGCGCAGUGUGUAAUCUGAUUGCUUGGUUCAGGUACACCUAGCAAAUGUAUACAUUGACGAGGAGUGGCACCUGCUCUAGUGCCAUGGCUAGGACUCCCUGUUCUGCAAAGAACUGGCGAAACUGGUGUGCGGAGUUCUGGCACUCAGGAUAGGAGCAUCACAGGGGCUCUUUGGUGGUGCUUCCUGAACGGCCGCAAUUUCAUUGAGAAGCCGGCAUUGAGCCUCCAUAAAUUGGAAGCUGUGGACAGUAUCAUCGACAUUGUUUCAAAUUUGUUUGUGUAAUGUUUGUAACAAUACAUGUAUUACAGUGAAA